rnacentral:rRNA from 1 species
AUUGAACGCUGGCGGCAGGCCCAACACAUGCAAGUCGAGCGGAUGAAGGGAGCUUGCUCCUGGAUUCAGCGGCGGACGGGUGAGUAAUGCCUAGGAAUCUGCCUGGCAGUGGGGGAUAACGUCCGGAAACGGGCGCUAAUACCGCAUACGUCCUGAGGGAGAAAGUGGGGGAUCUUCGGACCUCACGCUAUCAGAUGAGCCUAGGUCGGAUUAGCUAGUUGGUGGGGUAAAGGCCUACCAAGGCGACGAUCCGUAACUGGUCUGAGAGGAUGAUGAGUCACACUGGAGCUGAGACACGGUCCUGACUCCUACGGGAGGCAGCAGUGGGGAAUAUUGGACAAUGGACGGAAGCCUGAUCCAGCCGUGCCGCGUGUGUGAGGAAGGUCUUCGGAUUGUAAAGCACUUUAAGUUGGGAGGAAGAGCAGUAAGUUAAUACCUUGCUGUUUUGACGUUACCAACAGAAUAAGCACCGGCUAACUUCGUG